GAUGAAGAACGCUUCCGAUCUUUCAGAGAUGAAGAACGUAGCAAAAUGCGAUAAGUAAUGUGAAUUGCAGAAUUCAGUGAAUCAUCGAAUCUUUGAACGCACAUUGCGCCCGCUGGUAUUCCGGCGGGCAUGCCUGUUCGAGCGUCAUUUCAACCCUCAAGCCCCCGGGUUUGGUGUUGGGGAUCGGCUCUGCCCUUCUGGGCGGUGCCGCCCCCGAAAUACAUUGGCGGUCUCGCUGCAGCCUCCAUUGCGUAGUAGCUAACACCUCGCAACUGGAGAGCGGCGCGGCCACGCCGUAAAACACCCAACUCUUCUGAAGUUGACCUCGAAUCAGGUAGGAAUACCCGCUGAACUUAAGCAUAUCAAUAAGCGGAGGA
rnacentral:misc_RNA from 1 species